UGGGGAAUAUUGCACAAUGGGCGCAAGCCUGAUGCAGCCAUGCCGCGUGUAUGAAGAAGGCCUUCGGGUUGUAAAGUACUUUCAGUCGGGAGGAAGGUGUCAAGGUUAAUAACCUUGGCAAUUGACGUUACCGACAGAAGAAGCACCGGCUAACUCCGUGCCAGCAGCCGCGGUAAUACGGAGGGUGCAAGCGUUAAUCGGAAUUACUGGGCGUAAAGCGCACGCAGGCGGUUGAUUGAGUCAGAUGUGAAAUCCCCGGGCUUAACCCGGGAAUUGCAUCUGAUACUGGUCAGCUAGAGGCUUGUAGAGGGGGGUAGAAUUCCAUGUGUAGCGGUGAAAUGCGUAGAGAUGUGGAGGAAUACCGGUGGCGAAGGCGGCCCCCUGGACAAAGACUGACGCUCAGGUGCGAAAGCGUGGGGAGCAAACA
rnacentral:rRNA from 1 species